UCAGAUUGAACGCUGGCGGCAUGCCUUACACAUGCAAGUCGAACGGCAGCACGGGUGCUUGCACCUGGUGGCGAGUGGCGAACGGGUGAGUAAUACAUCGGAACGUACCUUAUCGUGGGGGAUAACGCAGCGAAAGUUGCGCUAAUACCGCAUACGCCCUGAGGGGGAAAGCGGGGGACCGUAAGGCCUCGCGCGAUUAGAGCGGCCGAUGUCUGAUUAGCUUGUUGGUGAGGUAAAAGCUCACCAAGGCGAUGAUCAGUAGCUGGUCUGAGAGGACGAUCAGCCACACUGGGACUGAGACACGGCCCAGACUCCUACGGGAGGCAGCAGUGGGGAAUUUUGGACAAUGGGGGCAACCCUGAUCCAGCAAUGCCGCGUGAGUGAAGAAGGCCUUCGGGUUGUAAAGCUCUUUUGUCAGGGAAGAAACAGCAGCUCUAACACAGACUGCGAAUGACGGUACCUGAAGAAUAAGCACCGGCUAACUACGUGCCAGCAGCCGCGGUAAUACGUAGGGUGCGAGCGUUAAUCGGAAUUACUGGGCGUAAAGCGUGCGCAGGCGGUUAUACAAGACAGGCGUGAAAUCCCCGGGCUUAACCUGGGAAUGGCGUCUGUGACUGUAUAGCUAGAGUGUGUCAGAGGGGGGUGGAAUUCCACGUGUAGC
rnacentral:rRNA from 1 species